rnacentral:lncRNA from 1 species
AUGGAUCGCGUCGGCGAUGAGCAGUGUUUGAUCGUUGGAGCACUUGCAAUACUAGCUUGUGGGUCAGUGUUUGUAGGCUCCAAAGGGUUCAGCUCAGUUUCAUUCAAGAAAAGAAGAACAAAAAAGAAUGAAAAAGAUGGCUGCGAGACAGGGCUAGUGGUGAAAGCUACUACUAAAUUUAUCUUCGUGUGGAAUUUCACCAUCGUCCUGUCUGCACGAUUGGUGAUUACAGGAAGCACAGCAAAGUUAGAAGGGGAUAAGAGAGUGUGGCCACCAAUGAUGGUUCUGAAGUUGAUAGGGCACCAACAACCAGUAGCAUGUAGCAGUAGUUUUUCAAGCAUGCUACUCUAUUACCUAUCAUUAGAUCUUAGUGGUUUCCACGCCAUCCUUGGUCAUUACAAACGGGGAUUCAGUUCUCCUCUGAAUAACAAGUGGCACAAUCCUUAAGCCUGUCCAA